UUCACUACUCCGACGAACGCAACCAUUUCAAUUCAUCUCAGCAAUCUUCAAGCUCUGAUUUAAUCUCGGCAUAAUCUGAAGAUGUCGAUUAAUGUUUGGGAUUUCAAAUAAGUUCUCUCAAAUUCGGAUGGGAUUGUAGCAGAUCAAAACCUUCGGCGCCAACAAUCUCCAUGUUGCAAUUGAAUCAAAUCUGGCUAAUUCAGUGGAUGCAUGUAAGUGAGUGCUAUCAACCAAGUGCGUAAUCAAGCAAUGGAGUACAGGAGACAAAUCAAUCGAUUGUUCAUUUCAUAAUCGGAUCAUUCUAAAGUUUACUGAGCAAAAAUCCAGCACAAAGUCUUACGAAGAUGGACACAGAAG